ACACCAAAAAAGGUUUUUAGCAACGAACAGUUUAAGACGCUUUUAAUAAGCACCGCAAGUUUUAUAAAAUAAAAAUGUAACGAUGUUUCACAGAGACGGUCAUCAAUUUAGAAGUUUCAGAGCAAUUCUUAUUCGAUUAAGGUCUGAAGAAGUGCAGAUUGUGGAAGUUUUAGUUCUAUGUUUUCAAUCUAUGGAGCAAGCAAAAGUGUAUCUUCUUGGUACAAAGCCGUUUGGGAUGCAUUUGGAGCUAUGUGGAAGAGGAGACGCCCAAAGCUCUUGUCAACUAAUUAUGACUAUUUACUUAAGAAAGCUGAUGGUUCUCAGGGUGACACCACAUAAAAUCAGCAGUGAAGAUGAUGACGGGAAGGAUGGAGAACCUAAAAUCUUUAGACCUCCUUUUAAUGGAAGCCAGGUGAUGAUGUGGAUUACGGAGGUGUCAUGCACCGUGAUGGCUCCAUUCUCAUGUUAGUUUCAACAGACCAGUUAAAGCUUUGAUUUUGAUGCAUAUGCUGCCGAGCUGCUUCAAAUUCUCCGCAAUUUUGGUUCUUCAGGUAUAAGCUCUUUGUUCUGGUUUUCUAUUGCAUAAAUAUUAAAGUUGAUGAUUUCACCGGAUUCGAUGUUCCGUUGAGAAAUGAAUUGAGGUUUUGAAUUAAAUUCAAAAAUGGCUGUGUUGAUAAUUUGAGGUUUAGUUUCAAAUUUGAAGAAAUCAUCAACGUUAAAGAAUAAUUAAUUGCACUUUGAGCAAGAUAUCUUUUAAUAUGAGGAAGAUGUAGCAUUUUGGUGAAAGUAGAUCACCAAGUUGGACUAAUCGCAUGAAUGCAGACUCGAAUGCACACUAGUUGGAAUAGUAACCGAUUCAAAUCAAAUUUCUUAGACAAGGGUAUGCAUUUGCUUAAAGGUCUAGUAAUUGCGUUAAUUGGCUUUGUCCUCUGCAUUCUUACGGAUUUGAUAUGAUGUCAAAGAUCAACUUGAAGACUCAUAGAAGGUUAAAGACCAAAAUCAGAUGGAUUUGAAAGAGAAAUAGAUUAGCUUAAAUAUAUAAUCAUGAAUGUUUUUAGUUUUUGUUAGUUUAGCCAAUUUAGGGUACUAUAAUGUAGAUAUUACAAUUUCAAACUUAUGUAUUUUCAUUAGUUGUUGACUUUUCUUAUCAUAUAUAUGACUUUUUAUGA